rnacentral:rRNA from 1 species
AUUGAACGCUGGCGGCAGGCCUAACACAUGCAAGUCGAACGGUAGCACAGGAGAGCUUGCUCUCUGGGUGACGAGUGGCGGACGGGUGAGUAAUGCAUGGGGAGCUGCCCAAUCGAGGGGGAUACCAGCUGGAAACGGCUGCUAAUACCGCAUACGCCCUGAGGGGGAAAGGUGGGGACCUUCGGGCCUACCGCGAUUGGAUGCACCCAUGUGGGAUUAGCUAGUUGGUGAGGUAACGGCUCACCAAGGCGACGAUUUCUAGCUGGUCUGAUAGGAUGACCAGGCACACUGGAACUGAGACACGGUCCAGACUCCUACGGGAGGCAGCAGUGGGGAAGAUUGCACAAUGGGGGAAACCCUGAUGCAGCCAUGCCGCGUGUGUGAAGAAGGCCUUCGGGUUGUAAAGCACUUUCAGUGGGGAGGAAGGGUUGAUGUCUAAUACGCAUCAGCAUUGACGUUACCCACAGAAGAAGCACCGGCUAACUCCGUGCCAGCCGCCGCCGUAA